CAAGUUCUAGGACAUUGAGAAUUCCAUGAGAACAAACCCUUGGAAAUGUACCACUUGAACAGCUCUUCUUGUUUGGUCUACAUAGUCAAGUAUCUGAUCACCAGCAAGGAUAAACUCAAACAGGCCAGGAACAAACUGGCAAACACAAAACACAGAUGCAUGCCAGAGACCAAGCUUUGCACAGAUGGAUCCACUGAAUUCAGUGGCACUCUACUAAGAACCUAAGCUACUAGGCUUACUGAAUACUUCACUUCUCUGAACCAAAUGAGUGGUGUGUACUUUUGAUGACUGCCCUGAGGUCAUACAGACUGCCUUCCGGGAAAACGUGCAAAAAGAACUAAGAGAUUAAUGCCUAUCUCCUGCUUUUAAUCCAUUGGAGACAAAUCUGAUACCUAUAGAUCCUCUUAUAAGUAGCUCCUAGUUUCUUUUGCUUACUCUAACAUAAUUCCUUUUAAAAUGUUUCCUAAUGGAAACAGUGGCAAGUCAGAACUGCUCUACCACUUUCAAUUUUGCAUGUGUAUUUCCUUUUCUGACCAUUCAGUGGAAGAGUGUUCAGGCCAAACAAAAGGAUUCUAAGAGGGAUUAACAGCCACUUUCCAUCAUUAAUGCCUAAAAAUUGCUUUUUGCCCUUGUACUUCUAAAAACUUAGUGACCUUACUGACUAUGCAGACUGUUUUUAUAUACACUGAAAAUCUAAGCAUUAAUCUUCAAAACGAGGAUAAUAGGGUUUACAAAGAAAAGCUCUUACAUGGAAAGUGAAGUUGAUAUUCUCCUCCAUACAAGUAAGUGGUGACUCUUUCUCAUUUGUUCCAUACACAAACGAAGCUGGUGUUACAAAUCUAAAACGGUUCAGAAAUUAUGUAGUAGAUUUGAUAUACAGCAUUAACAUAACUUUCUGCUCCAUACUAUCUCCAGUAAGGUUAAUUCUAAGAAAAGAAUUACCUGAGUUUGCAGUUAAGUAAAGCCUGGAACAGAGUAGAAGGCCUCUAUUUUUGUACAGUUUAUUUUAAAAAGGCAGAUUAACCAGAAGUUACAAACCAAAAACUAAUAUCCAUGAACAUACCACAACAAACCCAGAAUAUGGUCCAUGGUAAGCAAGGCAUGCGAUGUAACAGUCUAAUUUCACAUUGAGAAAAGCAUCUCUGGAGCAGAAGGAGCUAUGUUUUGAGAAAUAGUUGCUCUUCUCUUCAACAUCUAACUGAGGUAUCUCUUGUUUCCUUACCGGCUUUCAGUUCUAUAUUCAUCUCCAUCUUAAGUUAUCAAAAUUAAUUUGCAUUUUUCAGGACUGUUUGUUCCAGAGGAACAAUAAAAGGCAUCUAGAGAAAGUUGCUA